UCAAGACCUCCAAAGACAUAAUGACAAUUAAUUGGCAAACCUCAUCCCCUCUCACACAUUUCUACCCUGUUGACAUUAAAUGAAGGGCCAGAAUUAAGCUACUGAUAAAGACGAACACUUUAUUCUAAUUGUUCUAUGAUUCAUGACCUGUGUUCCAACACCUAGAAACCCAUCAGGAUACAAAUAUAUCACUUAAAAUAAGACACAUAGGGAUGGUUAGUUUUUCUGUCUCAUUCUAUAUUGUUCUGAGAAAUUACAGAUAUUUUCUUCUAAGAAAGGCAUGAUCAACUAUUCAAGUUUUGCUGAAUCUAAGGUAAUGUCAGAAUACUCUUAAACACCUUACGGCCUCAGAUCCCAGUAGUUUAGAAUUCUAGGGAUGAUGUAAAUUUAUAAUCACUGUGAAAAUGUUAUCCUAUCAAAACUCUGUAGAAACAUCUAUGCUUUUGCAAUAACAGCGUAAAAGACCUCUUCUGAUGAGAGAGACAGAGAGAGAGAGAGAGAGGGAGAGAGAAAGAAAAAAGAAAGAAAGAUAAAUUAGGGAGUUGGGGUAACCAGGUAAUUUAGGCCAAUGGAUUCAACUGUGCCUUAAGCUGGUACUACCCUCAUUUAUGUGAGUCAAUCAAGUCCCCCUUUUUUGCUCAAGCUACUCUGAGUUGGGUUUUUAUCACUUGCAACCAAGAGUCACGACUAACAAACCCAUCCUACUGUUACCUCUUUUGCCUUGGCUCUGUAUUCCACACAGAUUUAAUCCUGGCGCUGAUAUAAUUUUGUUUAAAUAUUUCUUCACCAGCUUGCCUGUGAACUUACAGAAGGCAGACAUUUGUGUCUUUGCAUUCCCAGUACCUAGCACAUGGUAGACAUUCAGCGAACGUCUGCAGGGUGGAUCAUGCACCCAAUGUUGUCAACUCAUUUGAUGAUCAGCCCCCUUUCCCCCAACCAAAAAAAAAAGAUGUAAAAUGAAACAGCACAGAUCUUACUAGUGGGGAGAAAGGUGAAUGCCUCUAACGCUUUUAGAAAAAGGAUACCUUUGGGGAAACUAAGUGACUAACAAAUAAAAAUGGUUCUCUAAAAAUAGGAGAGCUGUCCCUGCAAGCUGAACUAUCAGAAGAUGAAGAAUGAGGUCUCCCUGAAAUGCCCACCAUAAGACUGCCAGAUAUGGGACUGCUGGAUGACACUCUGGCUACCCCACUGAGUUUUAUGAAAACAUAACAGAAUAAAGACACUUACUUGUCAACUCAGUUUGAAGGCUGGGAUGAUCAAGGUGCCAGAAAAUUGAGAAUCUAGUGAGGGCUUGCUCUCUGCUUCAAAGAUGACACCUUCUGGCUGUAUCCUGUGGCAGAAGGGGACAAAGAAGCUCCCUCGGGCCACUUCCGUAAGGGCACUGAUCCCAUUCACAAGGGCAAAGCCCUCAUGACCUAAUCACCUCCCAGAUGCCCCACUUCUGAAUGCCAUCAGAGAUGAGGUUUCAACGUAAGAAUUUUGGGAGGACACAUUCAGACCAUAGCAGGAGCAAUGGGCUGAUCCUGAUCCCACUUAAAUAGCUCAUAACUUCUG
rnacentral:lncRNA from 1 species